ensembl:rRNA 5S_rRNA 5S ribosomal RNA
GCUUACGGCCAUACCACCCUGAACACGCCCGACCUCGUCCGAUCUCAGAAGCCAAGCAGGGUCGGGCCUGGUUAGUACUUGGAUGGGAGACCGCCUGGGAAUACCAGGUGCUGCAAGCU